GGGAUAGGCAGUGACAGACACCAGGCACACAAUGGCACUGGAGGUCAUGCCCAACUCUACAGUGUUUACUCUGUCUGGGAUCAACGCCAGCUGGGAGAGCAGAUACGUUUUCUUCUGCAUAACGUUUCUUUACUACCUUGUCAUCAUCGCUGUAAACCUGAUAAUAAUUAUCACAGUCGCCCUGAGGAAGCCGCUCCACGAGCCCAUGUACGUGUUCCUGUGUAACCUCUGUCUCAACGGACUGUAUGGGACGUUAGGGUUCUACCCCAAGUUCCUGUAUGAUCUGCUCUCUGACGUCCAAGAAAUCUCGCGGUCAGGAUGCUUCGUCCAGGUGUUUGUGAUUUACUCUGCUGUCCUGUGUGACUUUUCCACGUUAACAGUGAUGUCUUAUGACAGGUCUGUGGCCAUAUGCAGGCCGUUGGAGUAUCACACAGUCAUGACGCGGGGGAAGGUUUUGAAGUUUAUUGUGUUCUCAUGGAUGACCCCCAUCAUUUGCAUGUCUGUUUUGGUUUUUGUGAGCUCUGGACUAACUCUCUGCGGAUCACAUGUUGAGAAACUUUACUGCGAAAGCUGGGCUAUUGUUAAAAUGUCUUGCUUCUCAUCUACACUGUAUAAUGUUCUUUCCUAUAUUGUAAUACUCACAUAUGCGGGAAAUUCACUUUUGAUUAUGUUUUCCUAUGUAAAACUGAUCAAAACCAGCUUGAAAUCUUCAGAAAAUCGGAAAAAAAUAAUGCAGACGUGUACUCCACAUUUACUGUCGUUAAUUAACGUGACAGUGGCCUUGCUGUUCGAUGUGAUGUACAGUCGAUAUGGAUCCAGAGAUAUUGCACAGGGCUUACGCCACUUCCUGGCAUUAGAGUUCCUAAUUGUGCCUCCUCUUCUCAAUCCCUUGAUUUAUGGCCUAAAACUGAAUAAGGUCCGAAAUGAGGUCUUGAGGUAUGUGAGAAGUAACACCGUAAAGUUUUAAUUGUUCACAAGAAGCCAUCGAGCUGGUAUCAGACUUUUUAAGCCAAUCAUCUCCCUCAGCCAUUCUGACCUCAUUGUGUACUUCCUGUUAUUCUCUCUUCAUUUACUGACUGAUGAAAUUGCAGCUACUGCAUCAGGAUCGGUUUCAGGCUCUUAGGAGUCUUACUCUUGGUUCUCAAACUGAGAGCAUUGUUGUUCAAAAGAAAAUAAUUAGCAGGUCAUUCUGAUCACAUCAAUAAUCUUGCGAGGAUUCUGGUCUCGUAUUUUUAUAUUGAUGUUAUUGAUCAAUAUGAUUAAAUCAAUGAAAACCUUCCACUUCGGAGAGGCAGGUGUUUCCCUGAUGACCUUCUGCUUAACUCCAUCUGGUCUAAAGCUUGUAGGCUGUUGUUUUCCAUCUCAUUAUUACUGAAAUGAAAGUGCUUCUUCAUUACCUGUUAUCCAGUCUCCCCCAAUGAAAACGUCUUUAAUAUACACAUCCUUCAGCGCAUGUGCACACAGAUUCCCUCUGUAUAACUCUGUACCUCUCAGGUGUCUGUUAGCUGCCCUUUCAUUUGAGAGAUAUUGUGCCUGUUACUCUUCCUUCCGUGUUUCAGGGGCAGUAUCUCUGCCUCGCUUGUGGAGUACAAAGGCUGCAUCACAUGACCAAACUC